rnacentral:ncRNA from 1 species
CAUUCGACCCUAAGGGAUAGGCGAAGGCCGUUCUCAAGCGGGGUGAUGUUCGCGUCGCCCCGGCGGACCGAAAGGGAAUCGGGUUAAUAUUCCCGAACCUCGACGCGGAGAUUGGCGCUCCGGCGCCUAGUGCGGCAACGCAAACGAACUCGGAAACGCCGACGUGGGUCCCGGGAAGAGUUCUCUUUUCUUGGUAAGGGGCGGCGACCCUGGAAUCGGUUCGCCCGGAGAUAGGGACAUGGGCCCCGUAAAGCAGCACGUCUCUUGUGCUGUCCGGUGAGCUCGCGUCGGCCCUUGAAAAUCCGAGGGAGACGGUGUAAUUUUCGUGCGAGGUCGUACCCAUAUCCGCAGCAGGUCUCCAAGGUGAACAGCCUCUGGCCGAUAGAACAAUGUAGGUAAGGGAAGUCGGCAAACUAGAUCCGUAACUUCGGGAAAAGGAUUGGCUCUAGGGGCUGGGUCGGUCGGGCUGAGGUACGAAGCGGGGCGCGGCGCUGUACCGGACUGGGCGAACGACGGCCUCCCUCGCGGGGGGCUGGCGUGAGCCUGGACCUGUGUCGGCGUCUUCCCGUGGAAUGCCGCAGCUAACGCGGGCCUCGCGGCCCGCUUCGGCCGGCGUCGAACAGCCGACUUAGAACUGGUACGGACCGGGGGAAUCCGACUGUUUAAUUAAAACAAAGCUUUGCGAUGGCCGUCAGCCGGUGUUGACGCAAUGUAUUUCUGCCCA